rfam:Alicyclobacillus hesperidum TRH17-3-68 TRH17368ctg24, whole genome shotgun sequence.
UCUGGUGACCAUAGCGGAGGGGAAACACCCGUACCCAUCCCGAACACGGACGUGAAGACCUCCAGCGCCGAGAAUACUUGUCUCGAGAGGGACUGGGAAGGUAGGUCGUUGCCAGGC